rnacentral:rRNA from 1 species
AUUGAACGCUGGCGGAAUGCUUUACACAUGCAAGUCGAGCGGCAGCACGGGGGCAACCCUGGUGGCGAGCGGCGAACGGGUGAGUAAUACAUCGGAACAUGCCCAGUCGUGGGGGAUAACACUUCGAAAGAAGUGCUAAUACCGCAUACGUCCUGAGGGAGAAAGCGGGGGAUCUUCGGACCUCGCGCGAUUGGAGUGGCCGAUGUCAGAUUAGCUAGUUGGUGGGGUAAAGGCCUACCAAGGCAACGAUCUGUAGCUGGUCUGAGAGGAUGAUCAGCCACACUGGGACUGAGAAACGGCCCAGACUCCUACGGGAGGCAGCAGUGGGGAAUUUUGGACAAUGGGGGCAACCCUGAUCCAGCCAUUCCGCGUGAGUGAAGAAGGCCUUCGGGUUGUAAAGCUCUUUCGGCAGGAACGAAACGGCGAGCUCUAACAUAGCUUGCUAAUGACGGUACCUGAAGAAGAAGCACCGGCUAGCUACGUGCCAGCAGCCGCAGUAACAC